UAUACCGUGAAACUGCGAAUGGCUCAUUAAAUCAGUUAUCGUUUAUUUGAUAGUACUUUACUACAUGGAUAACCGUGGUAAUUCUAGAGCUAAUACAUGCUAAAAACCCCGACUUCGGAAGGGUGUAUUUAUUAGAUAAAAAACCAAUGCCCUUCGGCUCCCUGGUGAUUCAUAAUAACUAAACGAAUCGCAUGGCCUUGCGCCGGCGAUGGUUCAUUCAAAUUUCUGCCCUAUCAACUUUCGAUGGUAGGAUAGUGGCCUACCAUGGUUUCAACGGGUAACGGGGAAUUAGGGUUCUAUUCCGGAGAGGGAGCCUGAGAAACGGCUACCACAUCCAAGGAAGGCAGCAGGCGCGCAAAUUACCCAAUCCCACACGGGGAGGUAGUUACAAUAAAUACAGAUACAGGGCUCUUUUGGGUCUUGUAAUUGGAAUGAGUACAAUUUAAAUCCCUUAACGAGGAACAAUUGGAGGGCAAGUCUGGUGCCAGCAGCCGCGGUAAUUCCAGCUCCAAUAGCGUAUAUUAAAGUUGUUGCAGUUAAAAAGCUCGUAGUUGAACCUUGGGCCUGGUUGGCGGUCCGCCUCACCGCGUGCACUGGUCCGACCGGGCCUUUCCUUCUAGGGAGCCGCAUGCCCUUCAUUGGGUGUGUUGGGGAACUAGGACUUUUACUUUGAAAAAAUUAGAGUGUUCAAAGCAGGCCUAUGCUCGAAUACAUUAGCAUGGAAUAAUAGAAUAGGACGUGUGGUUCUAUUUUGUUGGUUUCUAGGACCGCCGUAAUGAUUAAUAGGGAUAGUCGGGGGUGUCAGUAUUGCGUUGUCAGAGGUGAAAUUCUUGGAUUUACGCAAGACUAACUACUGCGAAAGCAUUCACCAAGGAUGUUUCAUUAAUCAGUGAACGAAAGUUAGGGGAUCGAAGACGAUCAGAUACCGUCGUAGUCUUAACCAUAAACUAUGCCGACUAGGGAUCAGGCGAUGUUAUCUUUUU
rnacentral:rRNA from 1 species